UUUGUUGUAAUUUGAAAGGUCGCAAGUUUGUUUUGAAUUGUUUUGAAUUAGAAAUUGUGGGUAUGAAAAUUGGAAAGUUUGUCACAAAAAAUUGUUCUGUUUUUCAAUAUUUGUUCUCUUCAAAAAUUGAAACUCAGUUUAUUCUAAUUCAGUAAAUUUACUACUCUAAAUUACAAUAUUUAUGCAAAAUUUAUAGUUUUUCGAGGAUACAGCCCAACUUUCAACAAAAAAGUAAAAAUGUCCAUGUCGCUUUUUGAUACACCUGUUUUUUUUCAACUUUCUGUUCGAAAAUAUUCUAAAGUUUAGUACACAAGCUUAGCACAUUAUAUUAAUGUACGCACAUUCACUGUUCACAAAUGAUACUUUUGACAAGAAAUUAUUUACUGAUUUAUCUAAUAAUUAUCACAUUUACAUUUCUUGUCAAAUUUUUGUUAUUUAUGAUCUUACUUAAAUACCCUGGACACAAACUUAUAAGACCAAACCAAGUACAAAGUAUUAAAACAUCGGAGAGAAAAUUUGGGAGAUAAAAUAUAUCACGCCGAUCUUAAAAAGGUUAAAAAGUCUUUCAAACAUGUAAAAACCUUGAAUUUUAUUUAUCAACUAAUCUACAAGCGCGGGAACUGUGCGAAAUGAUCAAAAACUGAUAUUUUUCUAAAUUAUAAAACUGUUAAAUAACUGUAUGUUUAUUUGUAAUCGGACCACCACCCAGUGAUAUGUUAAAUAAAUGUUGUUUUUCAAA